CCCCAAUACAGCCAUAUCCAAAUACCUCAGUACAGCCAGUAGCAAGAGAAGGCUGGAGGAGCCAAGAAGCAUCUGACGGCUAGAAGCAGAACAAUGAAGGCAUCUUCCAGGAUGCCACUUCUCUGCCAUUGCAACUUUCCCUGAUCACUACAUGGAGAGAAGUCUAAAAGGGAUGGACGUCAUUGCAUAAGGAAGAAAUCCAGAUAAGAGGUGCUCAAUCUGUAGCAGCAGCAGCAAUGACAACAACGACGACAACAACGACAACAACGACAACGACAAUGACAACGACAACAACAACAACAACAACCACAACCUUUUUAGGAUUAACUUUCUUGUGACUGGAGUUUGCAAUGCAAAAAGCAGUGUUCUUUCUGGAAUUGCUUUUUCCUGUACUCAAUACUACAGUGCUCCCAACUCAGCCAAAUAUAAAUCAGUGGAGACUUUUCCUGUCUGGAAAGCUACAAACAAUUUGUCAUUCUCCAUGUUAACCAUCACCACAAUAGUUUGCUGUAGCAGAUAAAAGAACAGUCCCUGAAAAUGUUUAUGGAGGAAAAUAAACAUCAUUAGCAUUUUGUACAAAAUGUUUUCACAAGUAAGACACCCAAUUAUUUUGUUAUAAUGCCUCUUAUUAGCAACAGCUGUUCCCCAAAAGCAUGGUAAAGUAGCAUCAAUCAACCAACAUCAAGAGAACAUGAUAUCUAGUUAGUGGUUUGUGUUUGUUUUGGUUUUUUUACUUUAGGAAAGCUUAUGCAAAAACAAUAAUUUGCUUUUGAGGCUAAAAGCAGACAUAGAUACACAAGCUGCUGUUUCAGUGGAUACAAACAAAUUACUAUAUUCAUAAGCAAGUAUAAAGGGAAGUUCUUCAAGUAUUUAAAAAUAAACUUAUUCACAAAAUAUUAAAUAUUGUUAUACCCGAGUCCCAUUCAUAUCUACUGCACUUAGCAAUGAUGGAUGAAUCUUACAGAUUUCAUUCUAUUUCUUCCAAAUACAGCAGGCACACAGCAUAGUAGGCAUUACUGGAGUUCUUAUCUCUUAUUCUGUGGGUAAAUCAAAUGCAGUGCAGCCCCCGUAUCUGCAGAAUAUAUUCUAAGACACUCAGUGAAUACCUGUAACCAUAGAGCAC
rnacentral:lncRNA from 11 species